rnacentral:lncRNA from 1 species
AAAUUUAACAGGAGACAGAAAAGCUCUCACAUCUAUCAGAGGAGCAGUUAGCUGAUCAAACAUCAAUUACUUCUGGAAAUGAGAGAGAAAUAACUGAAGAAUUAGAACCAGAAGGAAGUUGAACAAUCUGGAUUAAAGUUACAUCACUUGGUUUUACGAAGUCAUGAAUUACAUCAAAUGAAACAAUACAGCAGCUGAGUGUAGAAUACAAAUAAAACAAUUUCCCUGCAGAGGACACUGCAUUGUCACUUCCAAACCCAACGGGUGGUCAGAGGAGUGACUGUAACUACAAAACUGUGCUGACUGAUACCCCAGAAGAUGAGCAGAACUUGAAUGUGAAGAUACUGAUUUUGCUGAAUCUGUUUGAAAAAGAUAUUCCAGAAUCAAAGAAAUACCAUUGAACAUGACAUUGGUGUAAAACCAAUACUGUGAAGUCUGCUCUAAAGUUGACAGUUCACUGAGUGAUUUGUUCAAGAAUAUACAA